rnacentral:misc_RNA from 1 species
GAAGAACGUAGCGAAAUGCGAUAAGUAGUGUGAAUUGCAGAAUUCAGUGAAUCAUCGAAUCUUUGAACGCACAUUGCGCCCCUUGGUAUUCCAUGGGGCAUGCCUGUUCGAGCGUCAUUUGUACCUUCAAGCUUUGCUUGGUGUUGGGUGUUUGUCUCGCCUUUGCGUGUAGACUCGCCUUAAAAUAAUUGGCAGCCGGCGUAUUGAUUUCGGAGCGCAGUACAUCUCGCGCUUUGCACUCAUAACGACAGCGUCCAAAAGUACAUUUUACACUCUUGACCUCGGAUCAGGUAGGGAUACCCGCUGAACUUAAGCAUAUCAAUAAGCGGAGGA